UUCAAGUUAUUAGGUUUUCCAACUAAAGAAUAAACAGGACUUAGUAUUUUUUUUCUAACAUGUAUCAAUUUAAUCAAAAUUUGUAUGUAGUUCAAGAAAGCACUAGCUACCAUAAGUAAAAUUCAAAGUAGUUUUACUGGAAAAAAUUCACUGCUACUAUUGGUAUAAUAGGAGAUAAAAAAGGCAAAUGAAUUAGAAAAGUAAUCACUUCCUUUAGUUAAUUCAGUUUUUGAUAUUGAAAAAAAUCAACUUUUAUUUAUUUUCUAAAGAUUUUAUGUAUUUAUUUGAGAGAGAGCAACAGCACAUUAUCACGAGUAGAGUGUUGAGGCAGAGGGAGAGGGAGAAUCAGAUUCCCCACUGAAUGAGGAGCCUGAUGUAGAGCUCGAUCCCAGGGCUCUGAGAUCAUUACCUGAGCCAAAGUUAGAUGCUUAACCAACUGAGCUACCCAGGUGCCCCCCGCAUCAGCUUUUAAAAACAGGUUCUACAGAUGAAAGGCCUCAAAGAUGACCUAAUCACAAUUAUAAAGGCAAAUGAAUUAAACUGCUCUGAGUUAAUUUUUCAAUCCUCUAAAUUCCCUAUUAGCCAGUCAAAAUUAUUAAUCUCAUUUUAUUUAAUCAGUGGCCACCACAAGAUAUUAGCUGUUUAAUUGAUUUUAAUUCUGACAUACACAGUAUCAAACAUUUUUUCUCUGGAAAUAUACCCAAAUCUCAAACAGUUCCUCUGUACUCCAGUUCCACCAAACCUAUAAUUCACUGAGAUAUUCCACCCACUAAAAUCUUCUCAAAGGAAUAUAAAAGAUAUCUUAAAAAACCAAAAAGCUACAGAAGGAAAACUUUCGGUAAGCAGGCAGUAUAUUUUCUAGAAAGAUGAGAGAGACACAUAUUCAAAUAAGAGAACUUGUCACCAUCCCUAAAACUAUAUGCAUUAUUCUCACUCACACAGACACACACAGAUACACAUCCCCACACAGAGGUACCUGAAUCAGCAUUUGUAAAUGUCAGGGGUCCUUCAAAAGCAUUUGCUUCAAAUUGGGUCGAAAGGUUAAUUAGUCUUGACUCUUGGUCUUUCUGUGUUUUCAGGCCUUGAUUAGAUGUUUCAUCAUUUAUAACGUAAAUAAACUUUUUUGUUUUCUUUUUCAAACUAGAUAUUAAACCUAAAUUCUUCAAAGCUACAGAAGUAUGUUUGAUAGUUGCUGGCCAGCUUCCAUCAUCAAUUGAACUUGUACAUAAAGAAUCCUCUUUCUGAGAGCAAAUAGUAUGUUUUUCCAAUCCACUUUCAGAGGCUUCAGGUUCUUUAAAGUUUGGAUUAGUCAUAUUAUUUGAGAACAUUGCAUUGGACAUCCCUUCAGGUGAUUCUCUUAUCCUGAAUAUAGACUUUCUGAUACCCUGAAGUGGAGAAGCUAUUAAAGUAGUUUCAUAUAUUGCUUGCUUUACCGAAACAACGGAAUCUUCAUGAGAUUCAAGACACUGCCCUUCGUUUAUCUUAUUUACUACUAUUUCCUCAUUUAACGUUUUCUCUGAAUACUUUGGUACAUUUGAAAUCUGUGGCCAAGAAUUUUCCAAAGUAAUGAAGUUGGUGCAUUCUUUAUCUGUGAUUAUGAGGUCUUUUUCUGAAUUAUUUUGGUCAUAAGAAGUAUGCAAUAGAGGUGUUUUCUCCAUCUGAGCUCCAUUUAGACUUGAGAGGGUUAGGUCAGACCAUCCAGAGGCUGAAGACAGUACAAUUUCCUUGGAGAUUUUGUCAGUUCCAUUCCCAAAGGGCUUCUCAUGUGUUACAUUCCAAUCUAAUGGAUGACUGUCAUUUGGUUCCAUUUCAGAUACCAAUGAAUGUUUAUUUUCUUUCAUUUGCUUUUUAGCUUCUUCACAUUCACUGGUUUUUGUCUCAUUAAAAAUAUUUUUCCUAGUUUUGCUAGUUUUUAUUUUUUGUAGAUUUCUUGUUUUAUAUUUAGGAACACAUAAUGAAAAACUAUCUUCUUCUUCAGAAACAUCUAGAACUUUUUCAUGUACUUCAUCCUCUAGGACAUUUGGUGUAGACUUUACAAAAUGGUCUUUGGUGCUAUUUACUUUACCAAAUGAAUUCC
rnacentral:lncRNA from 1 species